rnacentral:snoRNA from 1 species
UGCUCGAUGAUGAUUGUCUCGUGUGAUUGUUCUUUUGCAAGAGCAGAAUGAACAUACCAUUUCACCGGCUCUGAGAGCU